GCGCGGGUGGCGAAAUUGGUAGACGCACCAUCUUGAGGGGGUGGCGCCCAACGGGCGUGUGAGUUCGAAUCUCAUCCCGCGCA
rnacentral:tRNA from 1 species